UGAUUUGUUUAAGACGGCGUGAUGAAGCUUCUUCUCCGGCGAAAGUUGUUGUUUUUUGCCGUUAAGCGAUUCCGCCUCCCUCCUUCUCCGGCGUGAUGGAUUGAUGAAAGUUGUUGGUUUUCUGAAUCAUCUUCUUUAGUGGGCAUUUUUCUUUCUUGCUUUUUCUGUGGUUUUCUGCAGAUUUGCUUUUUUUGUUUCUUUUAUUUUUUUCAAUUGUUUAUUAUAAAUGUGGCACCACUGGUUGAACAUAUCAUACGAUCUGUGUUUUGUGAUUUUUUCCCAAGAAAUGCAAGCACAUGCCCUGCCCAGAAUAGUGAUGGUAGAGGCGAUGAGGCUUCUGGUUGGAUGCCAAGUGAAAAAGAUUUGCUUUUGCACGUUUCCUUAAUUUUACUUGUUUUACUUAUUCGGUUUAUAACAAAGUGGUAUUCGAUGAAUUUUCAAUAUUAUUCACUAUAAUUUUAGUGAAU
rnacentral:lncRNA from 1 species